rnacentral:rRNA from 1 species
AUUGAACGCUGGCGGCAGGCCUAACACAUGCAAGUCGAGCGGAGCGGCGGACGGGUGAGUGAUGCCUAGGAAUCUGCCUGGUGGUGUUGGAUAACGUCCGGCAACGGGCGCUAAUACCGCAUACUAUCAGAUUAGCCUAGGUCGGAUUAGCUAGUUGGUGGGGUAAAGGCCUACAAAGGCGACGAUCCGUAACGGGUCUGAGAGGAUGAUCAGUCAAACUGGAACUGAGAACCGGUCCAGACUCCAACGGGAGGCAGAAGUGGGGAAUAUUGGACAAUGGGCGAAAGCCUGAGGCAGCCAUGCCGCGGGGGGGAAGAAGGUUUUGGGAUUGUAAAGCACUUUAAGUUGGGAGGCGUUACCAAAAGAAUAAGCACCGGCUAACUUCGUGCCAGCAGCCGCGGUAAUAC